AAUCAAAACAAAUUCAUUUCAAACCUUUUAUAAACAUAGCCAAAAACCACAAAACCAUAAAUUCAAGUCCCAAGUGUAAAGCAAAGAGAGAGUUCCAGAAUAAGAAUCUUGAAUUCAAUACCAAAGAAAAUAUAGGAAAAAACAAGGAGUCAUCACAAUUUAUAAACUCUACUUUUCUUUCUUUUUUGAGCUCUUAUCUUGAGCCGAUCUUAUUCUUUCUCACUUGAGCUAAUAGUAAUAGUUCGAGCGGUAGCAGCAGUCUGGAAACGAACAAGCUAACUAAUAUAGUCUUUGCAAGACUAACGAAGAAUUUUUCUUUAUUUUUCUAACUCGAUUCGUACCAAUCUUACACUCUUUUAUUAUUUUUUUUGUCACUUCUUGAAAAUCGCGAAAAGGAUUUUCAGACUUGACAAAACGGGAAGAAAGCUGCUAUCGGUAUUGAAAACGUCCUUACUAUGGCGGAAGAAUUUCAACUAGGAAAUGGAAAUUGGUGGGAUAAUACGUCGAUAUCAAGGAAUAGUGCACCUACUGUAGCUUCCACUACAGUAAGUAACAUGUCAAGCAACUAUAGUAAUUGGCAGAAUACAGAAACUCAAGUGGAUAUCAAACCUAGGACUUUCUUGGAUUCUGGUUCAGUAUUGUCUGAAUCUUCCGGUGGCGGAGGCGGAAGUGGAGGCGGAGGUGGAGGUGUUUUAUCUGCAGAUAAUAAUUUUCAAAUGAUGGGUUUAGGUCUAACUUCUCAACCACAUGAUUGGAACCAAUCUUUAUUGAGGGGUGAAAAAGCUGAGAGUGGGUUUUCUUCUAUACUUCAACAAGAAGAUUUAAAUUCAAAUACAAAUAAUUAUCAGCUAGAAGCAUCUAAUUCUCAACAAGAUAAUCAUUGGAAUAGACAGAAAAUAUAUUCUGGGAAUUCUGAAGAUUCUUCAUCAGUGGAUGAUUAUAAACAAAUGAAUUUUGUUUAUAAUAUUAAUCCAUCAAAUAAUUAUGGUUUAAGCCAAGAAUCAGCAGCUCAUGAUCAUCAUUUGAUGAAUUCAUCAACAACUUCUUCUUGGUCUAAAUUUCCUCAGUUUCUCCGAACAUCCCCGCCGGAACAGCAGCCGCUGCCGCCAUCGCUGCCGCCGCAGCCUCACAGUCAGCUGCAUUUCUCAAAUAAUACUCCUUUUUGGAAUGCCAGUGCAGCUGCCAUGAAUAAUGAUGUCCCUUCAAGUCUCUUUCCUUCUAAUUUGCAUCCUCAACUUCCCGUUCCAAUAGUUGAUGAGAAAGCAAAGAAUAUGGGAGAGGUUAGGGAUAUAAAUAAAAUGUCAAAGAAAACUAGCAGUGAAAUAUCAAAUAAAAGACCACGGGAUGAAACUCCAUCUCCUUCGCCAGCUUUUAAGGUGAGAAAAGAGAAGAUGGGAGACAGAAUAACUGCACUUCAACAAUUAGUCUCACCUUUUGGAAAGACUGAUACAGCUUCUGUACUCUCUGAAGCAAUUGAAUACAUAAAGUUCCUCCAUGAUCAAAUUGGUGCAUUAAGCGCCCCUUACAUGAAAAGUGGAUCAUCUGCAAUGCAACAUCAACAGAGUAGUAAAAAAUCCGAGGAUGCAGAAGGACAAAACCAAGAUCUUAGAAGUCGAGGAUUAUGUUUGGUACCAGUUUCAAGCACUUUUCCAGUAACUCAUGAAACAACAGUAGAUUUCUGGACACCUACAUUUGGUGGAACAUUCAGAUAAUUACAGCACACAGAGGUUGAUUCAGAAUUUAAAUUUGACGGGAUCGGCUUCUAAGGCUUUAGACCAACAAUUUGUACAAGCGGAGUUGCAUAUAUUCUUGUAAUACCAAAGACACGCCUCAAUUUUAAAUAACUUAAAGACGAUACGGAUUUACCACGAAAAUGUAUGCUGACUGUCUGCCUCCGCAAUUCUUUUCUUUUGUCCCGGCUUUAGACCAACAAUUUGUGCAAGCUAGUUCACACAGGCGGAGUUGCAUAUAUUCUUGUAACACAAAAAAUACGGCUCAAUUUAAAUAGUUCGAAGAUGGUACGGAUUUAUCAUGAAAAUGUAUGUUGACUGUCAGCCUACCGUAAUUCUCCUCUUUGCAUA